rnacentral:rRNA from 1 species
UACGGGGGGGGCAAGCGUUGUUCGGAAUUACUGGGCGUAAAGGGCUCGUAGGUGGCCAACUAAGUCGGACGUGAAAUCCCUCAGCUUAACUGGGGAACUGCGUCCGAUACUGGAUGGCUCGAGUUUGGGAGAGGGAUGCGGAAUUCCAGGUGUAGCGGUGGAAUGCGCAGAUAUCAGGAGGAACACCGGUGGCGAAGGCGGGUCUCUGGGCAGUAACUGACGCUGAGGAGCGAAAGCGUGGGGAGCGAACAGG